rnacentral:rRNA from 1 species
GACGAACGCUGGCGGCGUGCCUAAUACAUGCAAGUCGAACGCAGUGGGUACGGGUGAGUAACACGUGGGUAACCUCCCAUCAGCGGGGAUAACACUUGGAAACAGGUGCUAAACCGAUACUGAUGGUUGGACCCGCGGUGCAUUAGCUAGUUGGUGAGGAAACGGCUCACAAAGGCCCGGAUGCAUAGCGAACCGGGGAGGGGAAUGGGCCACAUGGGGACGGGAAAACGGCCCAAACGCCUACGGGAGGCGGCAGUAGGAAAUCUUCCGCAAGGGGCGAAAGCCGGACGGAGAAACGCCGCGUGAGUGAAGAAGGUUUUCGGAUCGUAAAGCUCUGUUGUAAGGGAAGCGGUAACUUACCAGAAAGCCACGGCUAACUACGUGCCAGCAGCCGCGGUAAUAC